GGGGAAUAUUGCACAAUGGGGGAAACCCUGAUGCAGCAACGCCGCGUGAAGGAAGAAGGCCUUUGGGUCGUAAACUUCUGUUCUAAGGGAAGAUAAUGACGGUACCUUAGGAGCAAGUCCCGGCUAACUACGUGCCAGCAGCCGCGGUAAUACGUAGGGGGCAAGCGUUAUCCGGAAUUAUUGGGCGUAAAGAGUACGUAGGUGGUUACCUAAGCACGAGGUAUAAGGCAAUGGCUUAACCAUUGUUCGCCUUGUGAACUGGGCUACUUGAGUGCAGGAGAGGAAAGCGGAAUUCCUAGUGUAGCGGUGAAAUGCGUAGAUAUUAGGAGGAACACCAGUGGCGAAGGCGGCUUUCUGGACUGUAACUGACACUGAGGUACGAAAGCGUGGGGAGCAAAC
rnacentral:rRNA from 1 species